rnacentral:rRNA from 1 species
AGCGAACGCUGGCGGCAGGCCUAACACAUGCAAGUCGAACGAUCCUUCGGGAUAGUGGCGGACGGGUGAGUAACACGUGGGAACGUGCCCUUUGGUUCGGAACAACUCAGGGAAACUUGAGCUAAUACCGAAUGUGCCCUUCGGGGGAAAGAUUUAUCGCCAUUGGAGCGGCCCGCGUCUGAUUAGCUAGUUGGUGAGGUAACGGCUCACCAAGGCGACGAUCAGUAGCUGGUCUGAGAGGAUGAUCAGCCACAUUGGGACUGAGACACGGCCCAAACUCCUACGGGAGGCAGCAGUGGGGAAUCUUGCGCAAUGGGCGAAAGCCUGACGCAGCCAUGCCGCGUGAAUGAUGAAGGUCUUAGGAUUGUAAAAUUCUUUCACCGGGGACGAUAAUGACGGUACCCGGAGAAGAAGCUCCGGCUAACUUCGUGCCAGCCGCCGCCGUAAAAC